UACGUAGGGGGCGAGCGUUGUCCGGAGUUACUGGGCGUAAAGCGCACGCAGGCGGUCUGUCAAGUCGGAUGUGAAAUCCCCGGGCUCAACCUGGGAACUGCAUUCGAAACUGGCAGGCUAGAGUCUUGUAGAGGGGGGUAGAAUUCCAGGUGUAGCGGUGAAAUGCGUAGAGAUCUGGAGGAAUACCGGUGGCGAAGGCGGCCCCCUGGACAAAGACUGACGCUCAGGUGCGAAAGCGUGGGGAGCAAACAGG
rnacentral:rRNA from 1 species